UACGUAGGGUGCAAGCGUUAAUCGGAAUUACUGGGCGUAAAGCGUACGCAGGCGGUUUUGUAAGACUGUCGUGAAAAUCCCCGGGCUUAACCUGGGAAUUGCGAUGGUGACGUGCAAGGCUAGAGUUUGGCAGAGGGGGUGGAAUUCCACGGUGUAGCAGUGAAAUGCGUAGAGAUGUGGAGGAACACCGAUGGCGGAAGGCAGCCCCCUGGGCUAACACUGACGCUCGAUGCACGAAAGCGUGGGGAGCAAACAGG
rnacentral:rRNA from 1 species